rnacentral:tRNA from 1 species
GGAUUCGUAGCUCAGUUGGUAGAGCAGCAGACUCUUAAUCUGCGGGUCGUGGGUUCGACCCCCACCGGAUUCA